UACAGAGGGUGCGAGCGUUGUCCGGAAUCACUGGGCGUAAAGGGCGUGUAGGCGGCUGGGUAAGCCGCGUGUGAAAUCCCGGGGCUCAACCCCGGAACGGCACGCGGGACUGUCCGGCUAGAGAAUGGUAGAGGCGAGUGGAAUUCCUGGUGUAGCGGUGGAAUGCGUAGAGAUCAGGAAGAACACCGGUGGCGAAGGCGGCUCGCUGGGCCAUUUCUGACGCUGAGGCACGAAAGCGUGGGGAGCAAACAGG
rnacentral:rRNA from 1 species